CAAGACCCUGCCUCCAAAAAGAAAAGAAAUUCUGAAUUUAUUCUUGGACAGCUUUUAGCAGCUACAUGCAAAGAACUUCCAGGCCCUAAAGAAAGUAGACGGACUGCCAAAGACCUUUGGGAAGUUGUUGUUCAAAUCUGUAGUGUGUCCAGUCAGCACAAACGAGGAAAUGAUGGCAGAGUUAGUUUAAUAAAACAGAGGGAAUCUACGUUAGGUAUCAUGUAUCGGAGUGAACUGCUUUCUUUUAUCAAAAAAUUACGAGAACCACUCGUUUUGACUAUUAUUUUAUCACUCUUUGUGAAACUUCACAAUGUUCGGGAGGACAUUGUGAAUGAUAUUACAGCUGAACACAUUUCUAUUUGGCCAUCUUCCAUUCCCAACCUC
rnacentral:sRNA from 1 species